rnacentral:lncRNA from 1 species
CCAAAAUAAAGUCUCAUGCCACAGUCCAUUAAGAAAAUUAUUACAGUCCCAAAAAUAAACAUAUAAUAAAUAUUUAAGUAUUUAAACCUAAAAUCAUCUGAGAGGCUCCUUCGAUAACCGCAUCCAUGUCCUAAACUCGAGGGUUAUUUGUAAAAUUAGAAAACUAAAAAUGGUGAGAUAUAAAGCUCAAUGUGGGUCGAAGUCAAUAGUGCCAUAAAAAACAGAGUUCAUAAAUCUCAAAUGUAUGAUUAUGAUUUUCAUAAAACAUUGUAUUUUUGCAUUUAAAGAAAAAUUCCUACUCAUACUCCGCUACACACCAUAAGAGUUCCUCAAAACUCGUUCCAUCCAAAAGCACACCAGUUUGUAGGAAAGCCACCAGAAUCACAGAUAAACUGCAAAAAUUGUAGACAAGCUGUUAGAAAUGUGGUCAUGCCACUAGAAUUGCAGAUAGCUUCCAGAAUUAUGUGGUUAAACCACCAGAAUUACAGAUAUACUGCCAGAUUUUCCUUCUUCAAUCAUACCAAAUUCCCCUUCAAUGCAAAAAGGAAUUUUAUGCAUUUCAGUAUGAAAAUCAGUUCGGUAACAAUAACAAAAUUAGUUUGGUAACAGUAUCAAAAUCAGUACAGUAACAAUAUCAAAAAUAAUUUGGUAACAGUAUCAAAAUCAGUUUGAUAACAGUAUUAGCAUAUAUACCACACAUUUAGUGUAAUGGAAAUAGUAAGCAUGUGUAAUCAUGCUUUCAGAGCAUCAGUAACGAUAACAAAUUAUUGGCACACUCGACCACAUUAAGGAAACAUGGUUAUGUGUGAUCAUCACUUGAAUCAUGAGUCCAAUCGAUCAAUCACAGUAACACUUUCCACAUUUGGUUGAAUUAAUAAAAUAUGGGAAUAUAAUUUUCUAUUUCAAAUAAAUCACACAAUUAUUGGUUAGGACCCAUACCUUAUUUUGCACGUUCAAUUAAUAAUAGAUCUAGUUUGUAAUAACAAAUGAAGCAUACAAAAUCACCAUGUUAGAUUUGACAAAAAGCAAAUAAAAUAAUCUAAUUUCCCAUUCUGAAAUAAUCACUUCUCUCAACCAUCGAUCAACAGAUCUAAACCAAUAACACCCCUAUCUUUCAAGUCCGAAUUGAUGUCUUUCUAGGAUCGCACCUUAAAUAAUAUAACAAAUGCCAUACAUAUUAAGACCAACUAACACCAUCGAUAGGUUCGACCAAAGCUUUGAAAGAUAACUAUUUCAAACCUAAAAAGAAUACACUUACUCUUUACCAAUAUCAAUCGAUUCUGACGAAUCUAUACUGGGGUGAGGAUUUGGAAAUAUCUAAAAAAAAGAGUAAGAGGAGAGAAAAAUAACGAUGAUGAGCUGCGACAACAUGGCAGUGUUACGGCGUCGUGUGGUGGAGGUCCAGCCAUGGAGAAGAAAAGAAGAAAGGGAAGAGACGGUGGUAUAGUGGUGGUUGAUUGGCAAAGCGAUGGUGGCUAAAAGUGAUUAAGGUGGCGGUAAUAAAGAACUAUGGUGGUUUAAAUGGAGGAGAGAAAAAAUGAAUUCCUUUCCUAAGCUACAUGGGAUGGCUAGCAAGUUAAAGGGAAAGGGAAAAAAACAAUGAGUGAAAUAUGGGAAAAGAAAGGAAAGGAAAGGAAGGGG